rnacentral:lncRNA from 1 species
GGACUCCUACGAGAGCCGGGCUUCGUUCUCAAUUCCAACAGCUGCAAGCAGCCUUCGUCCGGACUCCUACGGGAGCCGAACUCCGCCGACAACGUCAGCUGCAAGCAGCCUUCGUCCGGACUCCUAUGGGAGCCGGACUCCGCCGACAACGUCAACCGCAAGCAGACUCCGUCCGGACUCCUACGGGAGCCGGACUCCGAUCGCUAUCGAGCUUCAGCCAGCAGAUCUGCACUCCCGGGCC